GGUGGUGGCUCAGUGGUAGAGCGCUUGCCUAGCAGGCAUGAGGCACUGGGUCGGAUCCCUCACACCA
rnacentral:tRNA from 1 species